UCGAAAGGAAAUAUCAAUGAAAAGAGAAAGGAAUAGACGAACCAGGAAAUAUCAAUGAAAAGAGAAAGGAAUAGACGAACCAGUGCGAGGAAGAAAGAAGAAAACGAACGUGCGAGGAAGAAAGGGAGAAAGGAAUGAAAACGAAGAAAUGAAGAAAGGGAUUUUAGGGCUUAGAGGAAUUUCUUAGAGGGAAAAAGGGUUUAGUCUGAUUUUUAGAGGGAGAUAGUGUUUUGGGAUACAGGGCAAUGAAAUUUUUACAAUAUAAAAAAAGAAUUAGUUUAAAAUUUUUAAACAGAAGAAAUGUAAAAAAUUAGGAAAUAAAGGAAAAAAAAUAUUAUUAUUUGAAGGGGUUAUAAACCUCCUUUAAAAACAAUUAAAACUCCCACUAUCAUUGACAGUUACAUCAUUUAAAUUAAACAUUAUAAAAUAUGUUAAUUUGAGAGGGGUUUUUUAUACCCUCCACUAAAUAACCCCGUCUAAAUAAGAUUUUUUUUGUAGUGACUGUCCCUACACAUCACCACGAGACUUUUUAGUGUGUUUUAUUAUUGACUAUGUUUAAAUG
rnacentral:lncRNA from 1 species